rnacentral:rRNA from 1 species
GCGGGCUUACACAUGGAAGUCGAGCGGGCGAGGUUGCUUCGGUAACUGAGCUAGCGGCGGACGGGUGAGUAAAGCUUAGGAAUCUGCCUAUUAGUGGGGGACAACAUUCCGAAAGGGAUGCUAAUACCGCAUACGUCCUACGGGAGAAAGCAGGGGAUCACUUGUGACCUUGCGCUAAUAGAUGAGCCUAAGUCGGAUUAGCUAGUUGGUGGGGUAAAGGCCUACCAAGGCGACGAUCUGUAGCGGGUCUGAGAGGAUGAUCCGCCACACUGGGACUGAGACACGGCCCAGACUCCUACGGGAGGCAGCAGUGGGGAAUAUUGGACAAUGGGGGGAACCCUGAUCCAGCCAUGCCGCGUGUGUGAAGAAGGCCUUUUGGUUGUAAAGCACUUUAAGCGAGGAGGAGGCUUACCUGGUUAAUACCUGGGAUAAGUGGACGUUACUCGCAGAAUAAGCACCGGCUAACUCUGUGCCAGCAGCCGCGGUAAUACAGAGGGUGCGAGCGUUAAUCGGAUUUACUGGGCGUAAAGCGCGCGUAGGUGGUUAAUUAAGUCAAAUGUGAAAUCCCCGAGCUUAACUUGGGAAUUGCAUUCGAUACUGGUUAGCUAGAGUAUGGGAGAGGAUGGUAGAAUUCCAGGUGUAGCGGUGAAAUGCGUAGAGAUCUGGAGGAAUACCGAUGGCGAAGGCAGCCAUCUGGCCUAAUACUGACACUGAGGUGCGAAAGCAUGGGGAGCAAACAGGAUUAGAUACCCUGGUAGUCCAUGCCGUAAACGAUGUCUACUAGCCGUUGGGGGAUUUGAUCCUUUAGUGGCGCAGCUAACGCGAUAAGUAGACCGCCUGGGGAGUACGGUCGCAAGACUAAAACUCAAAUGAAUUGACGGGGGCCCGCACAAGCGGUGGAGCAUGUGGUUUAAUUCGAUGCAACGCGAAGAACCUUACCUGGCCUUGACA